rnacentral:rRNA from 1 species
UACGUAGGGUGCGAGCGUUAAUCGGAAUUACUGGGCGUAAAGCGUGCGCAGGCGGCGAUGUAAGUCAGUUGUGAAAUCCCCGGGCUCAACCUGGGAAUUGCAUCUGUGACUGCAUCGCUAGAGUACGGUAGAGGGGGAUGGAAUUCCGCGUGUAGCAGUGAAAUGCGUAGAUAUGCGGAGGAACACCGAUGGCGAAGGCAAUCCCCUGGACCUGUACUGACGCUCAUGCACGAAAGCGUGGGGAGCAAACAGG